GCGACAUAAACUAUUGGUGUCGCUUCUAGGCGACACUAAUUCUUGUUUUUAAUAUUUUAAAUCCUGCGUCGGUUUUGAGCGACAUAUAUUUUGAAAACCAGUGUCGGUUGUAAGCGACACAUUGUUGCUCUUUAUAUCCUCUCCCCCGUGUUUUCUUUUUCUUCUCUUGCACUUUUCUUAUUCGUUCUUCCAAUUUUUACAAAGUCUCCCGUGUUCCUCUUUCAGCUUUCUCCUUUGGUUUUCAAACUUCAUUUGUUCCUCUAUUCUCUCUUUCAGCUUUCUCCUUUGGUUUUCAAAAUUCAUUUGUUCCUCUUCACAACAGAAAGUUAUUGGAGUUGGUUGAGUACAUAAAGAAUUGUUGACGUCGAAAUUCUUCAACAAAUCAGGUGUUGAAAAUUAAAAGAUUGCAAUCGUGAUAGAGUUCGAGGGGUGAAAGAUAGAAAUUGAAAAUUUUGAUAGUUAUGCCUACAUGAUAGGGAUUGAAAGAUUGUAGGCAUCUUAGUGUCAACGUAAUAUUUUACCUUCGUAAAGUGGUAAAAUAUGGACAAGAGUUGGUUGACAAUACCCCGAAAUUUUGAAGCGUAUACAACUGAAAUUAAUUUGUUUUUGGAUCAAGCAGUUGCAAAUGGUGUUGGUCCUGAUAAGUUUAGAUGUCCUUGCAAAAGAUGUUGUAAUCGAUAUUCUUUUGUUAGGAACACCAUUGUUGAACAUCUCAUAUUGUAUGAUAUGGAUAAAGAUUAUAAAAACGCUUGUUGGCGACAUCAUGGCGAGCAAAACAUUGGAGAGCAAAAUGUGGGAAUUGGAGAAGAAGAAACAGGAGAUGAGGUGAUUGGCAUGCAUGAUUUUCUUAAUGAUGUAUUUGUCCAACCAUUAACAGAAGAAGGUGUUGGGCCAUCUACUGAACCCCCU